rnacentral:rRNA from 1 species
AAUGAACGCUGGCGGCGCGCCUAAUACAUGCAAGUCGAGCGAGAAGACGUAGCAAUACGUUUGUAAAGCGGCGAACGGGUGAGGAAUACAUGGGUAACCUACCCUCGAGUGGGGAAUAACUAGCCGAAAGGUUAGCUAAUACCGCGUACGCUUCUUGGACUUCGGUUCAGGGAGGAAAGCGAUGCCGAGGGUAUCGCGCUCUUGGAUGGGCUCAUGUCCUAUCAGCUUGUUGGGAGGUAACGGCUCACCAAGGCUUCGACGGGUAGCUGGUCUGAGAGGACGAUCAGCCACACUGGCACUGCGACACGGGCCAGACUCCUACGGGAGGCAGCAGUAAGGAAUAUUGCGCAAUGGGCGAAAGCCUGACGCAGCGACGCCGCGUGGGGGAUGAAGGUCUUCGGAUUGUAAACCCCUUUCGGGUAGGGAAGAUGGAAUGGGGUAACCCGAUUCGGACGGUACC